CUUGCAGGUUGGACAACGGAGGACAAGCCCAGCCAAGGGUGGUCCAGCCCCCGGAGGCCGGUGCUGCAGGGUGGGGAGGGAGGGGUGCCCAAUAUUCAAGACAGACCCUUUGGGGGUCCCUGGAAGACCGAAAGCAGCAAGAACAACACCUCCAAUCAGCGGUUUCUCCAACUGCCUGGACCUCAAGCCAGCCUCCAAAGCCAAGGGGUGGGGGGGUCAUUUUUGUGCCAGGAACAACCUGUGCCCCCCCCCCCAGCCAGAGUUUGGCCACUUCCAUGCCCGCAUCCUGGACUUCCUGGGCCUUGGCCAGCCCCCUCAAAGCCACCCCAAGACCAUCCCUGCCCUUUCGCCCUCUCUGACGGACACGGAGCUGCGCUGGGCAGCCUGGGUUUUACCAGGCGCCGGGACGGUUUUUUGGAGACGAGAAUUUUGGGGCGCGCAAAGAAACUCCCCCUCCUGGAGGACCCUUUGCUCAGCGGGGCGUUUGGGGGUGACUCGGAAGGGACCUGUUGUGCACUCCAAACCUUUCAGCUCCCGUCCCUUUUGGGGAACCCCUGAAAUCCCAGGGGGGACGCCGGGCGCGGAAGAGGGAAGCUGCAUCCAUCAGGGGGACCGGCGGCUGGCUGCUCUUCCCUCCUUUUGGGGGGUCCCCAAUUCUGCACACACAGCCCCCCUCUCUUGUACAGGCUCGGGGAGGGGGGUCUCUUGCCAGCAACUGCCCACCUGGAAGAUGGACACACGGGCAGCGGCAUCUUGGUACAAGCACCGCAGCGACGCAGAGGGGGGGUACCCAGACUGUGGCUGGCAGGGUGGGGUGGGGGGCUUCUGUCUGCCCCCCACCUUCCUCCUGGUGGACCGGGAGAGAAAGCCCCACUUUUCAUGGGCGCUGUGAAAAAGGGACAGGCGCCACCCUUUUCAGCCGAUGUAUUAUUAUUAUUAUUAUUGUUAUUAUUAUUUUGGGGGUCUUCUUUUUUGUAAUCAGAAUAAAAUUCUCAGAAGGAA
rnacentral:lncRNA from 1 species